CUGAUAUGGACAGUGAUGGUGCAGAGAUGACAGGUUAAUAGUCUGAUAUGGACAGUGAUGGUGCAGAGAUGACAGGAGCAGGUUAAUAGUCUGAUAUGGACAGUGAUGGUGUAGAGAUGACAGGAGCAGGUUAAUAGUCUGAUAUGGACAGUGAUGGUGUAGAGAUGACAGGUUAAUAGUCUGAUAUGGACAGUGAUGGUGCAGAGAUGGCAGGAGCAGGUUAAUAGUCUGAUAUGGACAGUGAUGGUGUAGAGAUGGCAGGAGCAGUGGAAUAGAGAUACUAAGGGCAGGCAUUUAUUUAAAGUACAGAGGAAAGUCGAGGAAGGCAGGAAGGGACAGAAGAGAGGAGGCUAUUUUUACAAGAUUACGGGACACAGAUGGUUGAAUAGACUUUAAAUGUGAUAGGAAAGCA
ensembl:lncRNA